AGCGGAUGAGUUGCGAACGGGUGAGUAACGCGUAGGUAACCUGCCUCUUAGCGGGGGAUAACUAUUGGAAACGAUAGCUAAUACCGCAUAAAAGUCGAUAUCGCAUGAUAUUGAUUUGAAAGGUGCAAUUGCAUCACUAAGAGAUGGACCUGCGUUGUAUUAGCUAGUUGGUGAGGUAACGGCUCACCAAGGCGACGAUACAUAGCCGACCUGAGAGGGUGAUCGGCCACACUGGGACUGAGACACGGCCCAGACUCCUACGGGAGGCAGCAGUAGGGAAUCUUCGGCAAUGGGGGCAACCCUGACCGAGCAACGCCGCGUGAGUGAAGAAGGUUUUCGGAUCGUAAAGCUCUGUUGUAAGAGAAGAACGAGUGUGAGAGUGGAAAGUUCACACUGUGACGGUAACUUACCAGAAAGGGACGGCUAACUACGUGCCAGCAGCCGCGGUAAUACGUAGGUCCCGAGCGUUAUCCGGAUUUAUUGGGCGUAAAGCGAGCGCAGGCGGUUAGAUAAGUCUGAAGUUAAAGGCUGUGGCUUAACCAUAGUACGCUUUGGAAACUGUUUAACUUGAGUGCAGAAGGGGAGAGUGGAAUUCCAUGUG
rnacentral:rRNA from 1 species